rnacentral:rRNA from 1 species
AACCGUGGUAAUUCUAGAGCUAAUACAUGCUAAAAAUCCCGACUUCGGAAGGGAUGUAUUUAUUAGAUUAAAAACCAAUGCCCUUUGGGCUCCUUGGUGAAUCAUGAUAACUUCUCGAAUCGCAUGGCCUUGCGCCGGCGAUGGUUCAUUCAAAUUUCUUCCCUAUCAACUUUCGAUGUUUGGGUAUUGGCCAAACAUGGUCGCAACGGGUAACGGAGGGUUAGGGCUCGACCCCGGAGAAGGAGCCUGAGAAACGGCUACUACAUCCAAGGAAGGCAGCAGGCGCGCAAAUUACCCAAUCCCGACUCGGGGAGGUAGUGACAAUAAAUACUGAUACGAGGCUCUUUUGGGCCUUGUAAUUGGAAUGAGUACAAUUUAAAUCUCUUAACGAGGAACAAUUGGAGGGCAAGUCUGGUGCCAGCAGCCGCGGUAAUUCCAGCUCCAAUAGCGUAUAUUAAAGUUGUUGUGGUUAAAAAGCUCGUAGUUGAACCUUGGGCCUGGCUGGCCGGUCCGCCUCACCGCGUGUACUGGUCCGGCCGGGCCUUUCCCUCUGUGGAACCUCAUGCCCUUCACUGGGUGUGACGGGGAAGCAGGACUUUUACUGUGAAAAAAUUAGAGUGCUCCAAGCAGGCCUAUGCUCGAAUACAUUAGCAUGGAAUAAUAAAAUAGGACGUGCGGUUCUAUUUUGUUGGUUUCUAGGACCGCCGUAAUGAUUAAUAGGGACAGUCGGGGGCAUCAGUAUUCAAUUGUCAGAGGUGAAAUUCUUGGAUUUAUUGAAGACUAACUACUGCGAAAGCAUUUGCCAAGGAUGUUUUCAUUAAUCAGGAACGAAAGUUAGGGGAUCGAAGACGAUCAGAUACCGUCGUAGUCUUAACCAUAAGCUAUGCCGACUAGGGAUCGGACGAUGUUAUUUUUUGACUCGUUCGGCACCUUACGAGAAAUCAAAGUGUUUGGGCUCCAGGGGGAGUAUGGGUCGCAAGGCUGAACA